rnacentral:misc_RNA from 1 species
UACGUAGGGUGCGAGCGUUGUCCGGAAUUAUGGGGCGUAAAGAGCUCGUAGGCGGUCUGUCGCGUCGGAUGUGAAAGCCCGGGGCUUAACCCCGGGUCUGCAUUCGAUACGGGCAGACUAGAGUGUGGUAGGGGAGCUCGGAAUUCCUGGUGUAGCCGUGAAAGGCGCAGAUAUCAGGAGGAACAACGGUGGCGAAGGCGGAUCUCUGGGCCAUUACUGACGCUGAGGAGCGAAAGCGUGGGGAGCGAACAGG